UCCUCGGUAGCUCAACGGUAGAGCAUCCGGCUGUUAACCGGAGAGUUGCAGGUUCGAAUCCUGCCCGGGGAGCCA
rnacentral:tRNA from 4 species